GCAAGUUGUAGCUCAAAGUAGAGCGUUGGUCUUGUAAACCAAAGGUUGGAUUAAACAAUCCCACUUGCU
rnacentral:tRNA from 1 species